rnacentral:rRNA from 1 species
UUAGUCGGUCUCGGAGCAAACGGAGUGAAGCAUGUUAUUUAAUACGAAAGUACGCGUAAAAUCUUACCAGUUCUUGCAUAAACAAUCUCUCUUAAAAAGACUAGAUUGCAUAAUUUCUUAACUUUUGCCUUUGCUUUAGUUUUUAUUCUUAUUAUUAAUAACAAUAAAAAUAAGAAACAAAGUCAAAAGCAACCUUCGCUCUAGAGCUUAAGGCUCGCUGAGAGGAUAAAAAGGGACUUGUUUACAGGUGUUGCAUGGCUGUCGUCA